GUCAAAAACUGUACAGUCAGUCAUCCUAUCAGGUUGUGGAUGCUCAACAGAUGUGCAGACAUAAAGGGAGGGAAAAACAACUUUUUUAAUUGAUCACUUACUUUACAGCCAGCAGGCACCUCUGAUCUUAAAUUUUAGUGAUCACCAGGAAGAAACUUGGCUCUCUUUCACCAGUAGGCACCAUCUGGUGGACAACAGAACCUCAGCUUCAGGGGGCUACCCACACCCCGGAGGACGCCACCCAAAGACACAAGCAAGAGGCUGAUCAUAAAAGGGCUCCACAGUUUGGGUUGAAUGCAGAUUGUGAGGGAAGUGCCAGGUUGAUGUGAAAGGAUCCUCCGUAGGAAACAAAGACAAACAUCACUGAAGGGGAGAGGCAACACAUGACGGAACAGGCUC